GGAAGUUAAGAAACUGUUUCUUAGCUUUUAACUAAAAAAACUAAGAACCGGUUCUUAAAUAAGGACUUUAAGAACCGGUUCUUAGUUUUUUUAGUUAAAAGUUAAAGAAACGAGUUCUUAUAUUCC
rfam:Brassica napus, WGS project CCCW01000000 data, contig: 11652